rnacentral:rRNA from 1 species
CCGACUCCACGAAGUUGGAUUCGCUAGUAAUCGCGCAUCAGCCAUGGCGCGGUGAAUACGUUCCCGGGCCUUGUACACACCGCCCGUCAAGCCAUGGGAGCCGGGGGCGCCUGAAGUCCGGGACCGCGAGGACCGGCCUAGGGCGAAACUGGUAACUGGGGCUAAGUCGUAACAAGGUAGC